AGAGGGGAUUUCUCUCUCUCUUCCUCUCCCUCUGGACUGGAUAGCUGCUGAGGACCAGGACCCGUGCAAGCUCUUCCCUAGGACAAAGGUCCUCAGCCUUCCUCCUGGAGACCACAGACGGCAGAGCCUCUCCCCUGCCUUCUCCCAUGGCAGAUCUCCUACCUUUGCUUCCCUGGGCACCCUUGCUAGGGGAGCCUGAGGCCUCUCCAGGCCGGAGCUCCCCCACUCCCCCAGGCAAGCAGCACCAGAGCAAUCAUGGCGGCAGUGGAGCAAAGGGUAGGGCCUGGGCCCCCUGGGAGCUCCUGCCUCUGCCCACCAUACAGGUAACGCCCUCCAGCGAAGGGGAGACACCCCCAUGCACCCCGACCCGCCGCCGGCACCUCCGGCUGUCAAGGACCUCUGACACGGACAAUUCAGCUGGGGACAGGUCAGACUGCUAGGCAUCUGGGCAUGGCUUUCCCCCUUUAAGCCAGGGAAAGGGUGAGGGAGCAGGGGGGGCGGGGAAUUGUUAUUGCCCCCCUGACACGCAAGAUAGCUGCGGAGAAAGGCUGGAUAGUCCCAGAGAUAGGCCCGCGAAAGAGGCCAUCAAGGACGAGGAAGGAUGGAGGAAGACCCCAAAGAAGGGUCCCAGAGCUGUCCGGCUACAUGAAAAAGAAAGGGAUGGCCCGGGAGGGUCCCAACCCGAGUCACAGAGAUGGGACUGCUAGUGAGAAAAGAGGCGGAAAGAGACAGGUCGGACAGAGACAGACAGACAGACAGGCAGAGCCUCCAGGGGCCAGAUGGAGGGAGAAACCCAGGGAGCCAGGAGAGGGAGCCCCAAACCCCAGGACCCCGAGGGAGGCAGCAGCAGAGAGAGAAGAGAACAAGGAACGCUCAGAAGAGGCAGA